CUUUCUAGGAGUUCAGUAGUAGGAUAAAGAAGGUGCUUAAUAGAGUUGCAGUUAGAGAAAUAUUAGAAAGUAUAAUUCAAGAGAUGAUGAAAUUGUAUAAGUCUGACCUUUGGUGUUGAUUCUUCUCCGAAAAUGGUUUCAAUCAAAAACAGCAUAGAAGACUGUGGUGGCCCAGGAAGCAGAAAAUUGCUGGAAAAUAAAAAGGUGGUAUCUUGUUUGAUAGUCUAGACAGGAGCUCUACGAUUUUCCAGUAGUCUGAUGGGAGAGAGCAUUUCACUUGAAAAAAAUUGUGAAGGUUUUUUAAAGGAGAAUCUCCUCCAGUUCAUUGUUUUAUUGAACGAGGACUUUUUGAGUUCCUCUUAUUCAGCCAGUGGGUUGGUUGCUUUCACAGGGAUUUCCUCAUGAAACUAAUUUACUGCCUAGCAUACUCUUUCAUUAAAACAUCACAUAAACAUUUUUAACAAGUUAAAGCUUUUGGCAAGCAACUUAUUUGAUGACAGAAGCUCUAUGCUGUUAGGCCACGGUAAACUGUUAAAUAUAUUAAAUGAGCACUAGCAGUUUACUCAUUCCUUUAUUCCCUGACUCAGCAAAUAUUUAUUGAAGCCAAACGUUAAGAGCCAGGAAGUAUUUUUGACAUUAGAAAUUUCAAAGUGAUUGAAACAAGCAGAGAGGAGCACUUAGCCAGGUUGGAGAAAAUUCCUUCCAGGAUGGUUUUCUACAGUAGGUGAUGCCUAGGAUGGGGGAGCCUUGGAAGUGGUCUAGAAGGAUGGAAGAGUAAAAGGAAGGUGUGAAAGGAGGAAACAGCAAGGGGCCAGCCUUUCGCAUUCCAGUAUAGUGUUGUCAUAGGCUGCAGGGCUCUCCUUGAGGGCAUAGGUACUUAACUUUCAGAGAGCUGACUCCUGUCAGCUGAGGGCAAUUCUUUAGAGAAGGAGAGCUGCUGGAAGCCUUUUGCAGCCAACACUCAUAGAAGCUGGAGGGGGCGCAUUGGCCCAGUACAGGGUAUCUGAAUGGUGCACCAAAACGGCGUCGGCCAACCACAAGAGUGACUGGGAGAUGAAUAAUAAAUAUAUCAAUGGUGACUCCUCUUUCACAAAGCUUGAAUAGGGAUGUUUCCCCGGCAACAACCUUAGCCCUGUGCUCACAACUGUUAUUUCUCUCUAAGCAAAGUCCCCUCUCCUCUGCUGCAACUCAGCACCACCUUCUGAUGUCCUCAUGACUCCCUCACCCAUGCGUCCAGCCAGGCUUUCUCCAAAUAAACGUUUGUUGAAUGGAUAAAUAUACUAGGAAUUCUCUGACUGAAGAAGGAGGAAAAAUCAUUACAGGCAGAGAAAAGAGUUGUUCGAAGGCAUGUUCAAAAGCUAGGACAAUGAAUUGAUGUCAUAGUGGAAGUUCAGGUCUGUUUAGAAUGAAAAACAAGUGAAAAUGUGCGGGUGGUAUCUGAUAAUAAUGCUAAACAUAUUUUUUUUUUCCUAAAUCAAAACAGUUAUUUUUGUUCAGCUCAAAAUAGACUCCCAAGAAUGCUCCCCUCCUUGCCCAUUGUUUCCAAGAGAGAAAAUCUGACAUAUUUAAUCAAUGGACUGGAAACGAAGUUUCCCUUUUUCUCCCCCAGGCAGCAGGCUGCUGCUCUUUCUGGAUGUUGGGGCAAGAGACAAGUCAGGCUUGGAAGGGUGUCCUAACAUUUGCAAAUGUCCAUUUUUCUGUCCAAGGACAGAGAAGGUAAAGAGCCAAGAGGAAAUGGUUAAGAGGGCUAUCUUGGCAAGCCUUUUACCCCAGAAAGAGGAAAGAAUCUUCAGAAAAAGGACAACAGUGCACAAAGAUUUCUCUGAAAAAAAAAAAAAAAGAAAAGAAAAA
rnacentral:lncRNA from 1 species